GACGAAGGCUGCAAGUGUUAUCCGGAAUCACUGGGCGUAAAGCGUCUGUAGGUGGUUUAAUAAGUCCAAUGCUAAAUCUUGAAGCUCAACUUGAAAAUCGGAGUCGAAACUAUUAGGCUAGAGUAUAGUAGGGGUAAAGGGAAUUUCCAGUGGAGCGGUGAAAUGCGUAGAGAUUGGAAAGAACACCGAUGGCGUAGGCGCUUUACUGGGCUAUUACUGACACUCAGAGACGAAAGCUAGGGUAGCAAAUGGG
rnacentral:rRNA from 1 species